UACAGAGGGUGCGAGCGUUAAUCGGAAUUACUGGGCGUAAAGCGCACGUAGGCGGCUUGGUAUGUCGGGUGUGAAAUCCCCGGGCUCAACCUGGGAACUGCAUCCGAAACUGCCUUGCUCGAGUAUGGGAGAGGGAAGUGGAAUUUCCGGUGUAGCGGUGAAAUGCGUAGAUAUCGGAAGGAACAUCAGUGGCGAAGGCGACUUCCUGGACCGACACUGACGCUGAGGCGCGAAAGCUAGGGGAGCAAACGGG
rnacentral:rRNA from 1 species